rnacentral:rRNA from 1 species
UGGGGGAUAUUGCACAAUGGGCGAAAGCCUGAUGCAGCGACGCCGCGUGGGGGAUGAAGGCCUUCGGGUUGUAAACUUCUUUUGCUCUGAACAAGGCAUGCCUUUGGGGUGUGUUGAGUGUAGGGGUUGAUUAGCGCCGGCUAACUACGUGCCAGCAGCCGCGGUAAUACGUAGGGCGCGAGUGUUGUCCGGAAUUAUUGGGCGUAAAGGGCUUGUAGGUGGCUGGUUGCGUCUGUCGUGAAAGCUCAUGGCUUAACUGUGGGUUUGCGGUGGGGACGGGCUGGCUUGAGUGCAGUAGGGGAGGAGGGAAUUCCUGGUGUGGCGGGGGAAUGCGCAGAUAUCAGGAGGAAUACCGGUGGCGAAGGCGGGUCUCUGGGCUGUUACUGGCGCUGGGGGGCGAAAGCGUGGGGAGCGAACAGG